rnacentral:rRNA from 1 species
GACGAACGCUGGCGGCGUGCUUAACACAUGCAAGUCGAACGGAAAGGCCCUGCUUGCAGGGUACUCGAGUGGCGAACGGGUGAGUAACACGUGGGUGAUCUGCCCUGCACUUCGGGAUAAGCCUGGGAAACUGGGUCUAAUACCGGAUAGGAGCCAUUUUUAGUGUGAUGGUUGGAAAGUUUUUUCGGUGUAGGAUGAGCUCGCGGCCUAUCAGCUUGUUGGUGGGGUAAUGGCCUACCAAGGCGGCGACGGGUAGCCGGCCUGAGAGGGUGGACGGCCACAUUGGGACUGAGGUAAGGCCCAGACUCCUACGGGAGGCAGCAGUGGGGAAUAUUGCACAAUGGGCGCAAGCCUGAUGCAGCGACGCCGCGUGGGGGAUGACGGCCUUCGGGUUGUAAACUCCUUUCGCUAGGGACGAAGCUUUUUGUGACGGUAUCUAGAUAAGAAGCACCGGCUAACUACGUG